rnacentral:rRNA from 1 species
GAGUUUGAUCAUGGCUCAGGAUGAACGCUGGCGGCGUGCUUAACACAUGCAAGUCGAACGAAGCGGGAAGGAAGAAGUUUUUCGAAAUGGAUUUUUUCUUUGCUUAGUGGCGGACGGGUGCGUAACACGUAGGUAACCUGCCCUGUGCUUGGGAAUAACUCCGGGAAACCGGUGCUAAUGCCGAAUAAUAUCGCCUGUCGGCAUCGAGAGGCGAUCAAAGAAUUUCGGCACAGGAUGGGCCUGCGCCGGAUUAGCUGGUUGGUGAGGUAACGGCUCACCAAGGCGACGAUCCGUAGCCGACCUGAGAGGGUGAUCGGCCACACUGGAACUGAGACACGGUCCAGACUCCUACGGGAGGCAGCAGUGGGGAAUAUUGCACAAUGGGGGAAACCCUGAUGCAGCAACGCCGCGUGAGCGAUGAAGGCUUUCGAGUCGUAAAGCUCUGUCCUA